rnacentral:rRNA from 1 species
UACAGAGGGUGCGAGCGUUAAUCGGAAUUAUUGGGCGUAAAGCGUCCGCAGGUGGCUGUUCAAGUCUGCUGUCAAAGCGCAGAGCUUAACUCUGUACAGGCGGUGGAAACUGAAGAGCUAGAGUAUGGUAGGGGUAGAGGGAAUUCCCGGUGUAGCGGUGAAAUGCGUAGAUAUCGGGAAGAACACCAGUGGCGAAAGCGCUCUACUGGGCCAUAACUGACACUGAGAGACGAAAGCCAGGGGAGCAAACGGG